GUAUGCAAAUCAUUUUGUGAAACUCCUGAAAGCAAGAAAACACUUCACUUUGUGCUCUCAUCAAAUAAACCUAUGUCAACCUGGUACAACAGUCAAUAUAAGAGACAAACCAUCUAUACCCAGACAAAAAAGUAGUUUAGGUAGGUCCCCAUUGAUCAAAAUAAAUAUUCUUAAAACGGACCAAUCUUUUAUUAUUUGUUGAAGGAUAAGACCGUCUUGUAUAUUUAGCAAAUUCACAAGCAUCACA
rnacentral:misc_RNA from 1 species